rnacentral:lncRNA from 1 species
CCUGCCAUGCAGGGAAAGGUCAUCGGAGUCGCCAGCGGCCAGGCCGGGGCCGACAAAGCUGGCGCCCACCCUCCGGGAAGACCCAGCCUCAGGGUGGGGUCCAAAAUGACCUGCUGGGGGUGGCCCCCCAUGGCCUACUGACCCCUGGACCCCAGUGAGAAGGGGGACGGGAGAGAUAAGGGCUGGCUGGGGGUGGGCAGCGAGGCACGGGAACUAGUGUGACUGAGCAGGCCGCAGGCCAGGGCUGGGGGGGGCACUUAAACCUCUCUUAGUAGAGUGUGCAUUUUUCAGGAUGUAUCCUUGGUCAGCUAACUUGCUAACUGGUUAACGCCUGCAAGGUGACCUUCGUACCUACCUGGCAGCUCUGUGCCUUUGGUUUAUUGUCCCAGCACGAGUCCAGCCCUGACCUGCCGGAACAACGGCCACCCUCCCACUGGGCUCCGUCUCCUCUUCCUCCCUGAUGCCCACGGGUGCCGCCGGUGGUGGGGGGAGGGUGAAUUUCUGAGUGUGUAUGUGUGCACACGUGAGUUUGUACACGAAUGUGCGUGUGUGUACAUGUGUGUAGAGCCUAUUAAAAUCACAGGCACAACUCCUUCAACUUUAUUUUCACUCAACACUAUGUCCCGAGGGUCUUUGCUGUGAACGCAGCUCACCCGCAGGGAUCUGGCUCGUCCGUUAAAGAGCCGUGUGUUAUUACACUGACCGUGUGAGCAGCAAUUCAGGCUGCUGGCAUCAUACUGACAGACACUUCGGUUGAUCUGGAAUUUUGGCUACAGCAAAAAUGACUAAAACUUGUAGGUUUAAAACCCCAAGUCUUCUAAGUAUUCUGCUAUCAAGUUGGCAGGAAUUUUUGAAAAGCAUAACACUUAGUGCUGGUGACGAUGUUGGAAAAUAGGCACUUAGUCACUGUUUGUAGCAAUGAAAAGUGUUACAAUCAUUUUGGAAGACAGUUUGGCAAAACGUAGUCCUGUGCAAAUUGCCCCUGCUCUUCACUCCAUUUGGCUCCCUCCAAAGAAUUGAUUCUGUGCGCAGAUUUAUGCCCAAAGCUGCAUUCGGAGCCUACCAAGGGACCACUGUCUUCUUUCCCUUCUGGAGUCAAAUGUGCUAUGUGGGGAUGGUGACACCUGCCAGUGCCCCCGGAGAUUUAGGUUUGUGAAGCCACCGGUGCUUGGGAUGCGCUGUCUCAAACACAGCAUCUCCCUGGCAAGGUGCUGGGAGCUUGUCUCCUUCAAAGGGGAGCAGAUUUUCCAGAGAGGAGGAACCCCGCCCUGGGUGGGGGGCACAGACAGGGCGCAAAUGUCCGGGAUGGGGGUGGUGGGUCCUAGUCAUGGCCAGGAAUGGUGCCCUUGGCAAGGAGGUCAGUGCAGUUUCCUGAAGCCCCUCAUGGCCUGGGGGCCCCUCUCUGGGGCUCUGGUUCCACUCCCCCUCUGGUCUCGUCUAGUCUUCUGAGUAGGCGCUUUACUGCUGGAGGCAGGCAGGGUAGGCUGGGCUGGGACAACCACCAAAGGCGUUCAGUGCUGUCUUAUUUCUAAUGGGACAGAAUGUGAUGCCAGGACAGAAUCUGAUGUCCAUGACCCACGUGGCCACUUUCCAAGAUGUUUUGCAAAAGUAGCCUCGACAUGGCCUUCACCUUGGGGAAACCGAAACGCCCACGUGUGCCUUGAACAUCAAGGACAAGCUCAUGUUUUGGCACCACUGUUGUAGCUCUUUAUGGGCUGCCUGGCAACAGGCUGGCUGGCACAGCGGUACCUUUUGCCCAGAAGGGACUGGAGGCUGGGGAUGCAGGGACCCAGGCCCGCUGGUGCUGCUGGCAGCCCAGGUUCCCAGCAUUCCCUUAAAAAGGAGCACCCGGGCUCCCUCACUGUCUCCUCCUUUCCCCUCCUGUCUCACCCCGUGGCGAGGGCAGGCAGCAGAGGAUGGGGCGCCGUCCUGGAGCUGCUCGCUGCUCGGCUGCCAGGGCCUCCCACUGUUGGCUUUGGAGCCGCUUCCCCAGGAAGCCGGUUUCUUAUCCCGAGCCCUGCACCUUGAUGCUGUGUGGCUUGCGGCGUCUUGGAAUGGAUCACGUCCCGUGGCUCUCGAGGGACAGCAAACAUGGUGACCUGCUAUCUCUAAGAGGCAGCCGGAGCUUGGGGGAGACCACGGACCCGGAGGAGAGCGGGAAAGCCUCAAGGUUUCCUAGAGGUCAAAGGCCUUGUCGUGCCCAGGGUGCAUGGGUGAGGAAUUAACCAGGUUGCGAGCUGACUUUCAGGUCACCCAGGAGGGACAGGGCAGCACCGAGAUGAUACUCUGGCUGCUAGGGUGGUUUGUCCGGACCUGAGGGUUUCCUGGGAUGUGUGACUCUCGGUGUUAACAGGCACAUUCCGGGAAAAGGGGCCCCAGUGGGUCACUGGGUGCAGGAUCUCCCAAGCUCCUCCUGGGGUGCUCCCUGCCAGCUGGGACCCUGUCCCCACAUCCCACUUCCCUGCCCUGAGUUCGGAGGUCCCCUGUUCAUUAUUUCUUUCUGGAUGCCCAUCUCUGCUUCCUCCCUUUGUCAAGGCCUGGCAUGGAAGAGUGUACACAGUCGGUGCUCAUCAGUUGUGUUCUGACCCCUCCUCCACUGUGCUGACUGUCGGCAGGGCCCGCAGGUAACAAUGGGGGCAGCCCAGCUCUGAGUUCAUGCCCUGGUUCUGCCGGGUGGGGAGGGGGAGAGGGGUGGGCAGCCACUGGGCAGCCCUUCCCUUAACUGAGCAAACACUAAUUGACGACAAUCCCCCCCCGAUCGUGUCCCUGCCAGGCUCCCUGUCUGCGUCCAGAGGCAGAGUCUGGAAGGAAAGUUACUACAGGCUGAGAUGGACCUGGGCUGCACUGUGGGGACCAACCUGGUUGGGGCUGACACCUGGGCGGGAGCCAGGCGGCCAGGGGACAGCCCCUCCUGGGUGACACAAAGCACAAGGGAGCCAUGGUGGCAGGGACCUCGGCCAGCUGGCUUUUCUGGGCCUGCCACCCUCUAAUGAAGGCGUUUCUCUUCUGAUGAAUGACAGCGACUUAAGAUUAUUCCUCAUAAAAAAGGGAGCCGUUCUGAACCAGAAACUUCAGUCUGUGGCUGGGAUACCCCCACCCCAGGUCCCCUGUUCCCCACCGGUGUGGACGCCUCAGGACCCCAGCCCUUCCUCUUGCCGGAACCUGCUGGGAGCUGUGUUUCUCCCUGUCACGAAAGAAUUAAAGACAACAUCUCGGGUAGGAAGCAAUUGUGGAGGGUGGAAGUUUCUGGCCAGGCAAAUAAAUUGGAUUUAAG